rnacentral:tRNA from 1 species
CAGGUUAAACUUAAAAGUUAAGAUUUUCAUUUACACUGAAAAUAUUUCGUGCAAUUCGGUAUAACUUGA